rnacentral:rRNA from 1 species
UACGUAGGGUCCGAGCGUUGUCCGGAAUUACUGGGCGUAAAGAGCUCGUAGGUGGUUUGUCGCGUUGUUCGUGAAAACUCACAGCUCAACUGUGGGCGUGCGGGCGAUACGGGCAGACUGGAGUACUGCAGGGGGAGACUGGAAUUCCUGGUGUAGCGGUGGAAUGCGCAGAUAUCAGGAGGAACACCGGUGGCGAAGGCGGAUCUCUGGGCCUUACCUGACGCUCGAGGUGCGAAAGCUAGGGAG